rnacentral:rRNA from 1 species
UGAACGCUAGCGACAGGCUUAACACAUGCAAGUCGAGGGGCAGCACAGGUAGCAAUACCGGGUGGCGACCGGCGCACGGGUGAGUAACGCGUAUGCAACUUACCUAUCAGAGGGGGAUAACCCGGCGAAAGUCGGACUAAUACCGCAUGAAGCAGGGGCCCCGCAUGGGGAUAUUUGCUAAAGAUUCAUCGCUGAUAGAUAGGCAUGCGUUCCAUUAGGCAGUUGGCGGGGUAACGGCCCACCAAACCGACGAUGGAUAGGGGUUCUGAGAGGAAGGUCCCCCACAUUGGUACUGAGACACGGACCAAACUCCUACGGGAGGCAGCAGUGAGGAAUAUUGGUCAAUGGGCGUAAGCCUGAACCAGCCAAGUCGCGUGAGGGAUGAAGGUUCUAUGGAUCGUAAACCUCUUUUAUAAGGGAAUAAAGUGCGGGACGUGUCCCGUUUUGUAUGUACCUUAUGAAUAAGGAUCGGCUAACUCCGUGCCAGCAGCCGCGGUAAUACGGAGGAUCCGAGCGUUAUCCGGAUUUAUUGGGUUUAAAGGGUGCGUAGGCGGCCCUUUAAGUCAGCGGUGAAAGUCUGUGGCUCAACCAUAGAAUUGCCGUUGAAACUGGGGGGCUUGAGUAUGUUUGAGGCAGGCGGAAUGCGUGGUGUAGCGGUGAAAUGCAUAGAUAUCACGCAGAACCCCGAUUGCGAAGGCAGCCUGCCAAGCCAUGACUGACGCUGAUGCACGAAAGCGUGGGGAUCAAACAGGAUUAGAUACCCUGGUAGUCCACGCAGUAAACGAUGAUCACUAGCUGUUUGCGAUACACAGUAAGCGGCACAGCGAAAGCGUUAAGUGAUCCACCUGGGGAGUACGCCGGCAACGGUGAAACUCAAAGGAAUUGACGGGGGCCCGCACAAGCGGAGGAACAUGUGGUUUAAUUCGAUGAUACGCGAGGAACCUUACCCGGGUUUGAACGCAUUCGGACCGAGGUGGAAACACCUUUUCUAGCAAUAGCCGUUUGCGAGGUGCUGCAUGGUUGUCGUCAGCUCGUGCCGUGAGGUGUCGGCUUAAGUGCCAUAACGAGCGCAACCCUUGCCACUAGUUACUAACAGGUAAAGCUGAGGACUCUGGUGGGACUGCCAGCGUAAGCUGCGAGGAAGGCGGGGAUGACGUCAAAUCAGCACGGCCCUUACAUCCGGGGCGACACACGUGUUACAACGGCGUGGACAAAGGGAGGCCACCUGGCGACAGGGAGCGGAUCCCCAAACCACGUCUCAGUUCGGAUCGGAGUCUGCAACCCGACUCCGUGAAGCUGGAUUCGCUAGUAAUCGCGCAUCAGCCAUGGCGCGGUGAAUACGUUCCCGGGCCUUGUACACACCGCCCGUCAAGCCAUGGGAGCCGGGGGUACCUGAAGUCCGUAACCGCGAGGAUCGGCCUAGGGUAAAACUGGUGACUGGGGCUAAG